rnacentral:snoRNA from 1 species
UGCACAAAUGCAAAAAAUAAGUCCUCUUUUGCAACCCACAAGUCAUUGUUCAGAAUGACUUUUGAUAUAUGUAAGAAGAAAUAUU